AAUUUCAAAUUACAAAGGGAAAAAAAAAAAAAAAAAAAUUCGACUUAUUAAAUUAUAAACUGCCACGUGUCACCUCUCAUGGACUCCCAAUCAGCAAGCGAC